rnacentral:misc_RNA from 1 species
AAGUCGUAACAAGGUCUCCGUUGGUGAACCAGCGGAGGGAUCAUUAUUAGAAGCCGAAAGGCUACUUAAAACCAUCGCGAACUCAUCCAAGUUGCUUCGGCGGUUGCGGCGUUCCCUCACGGGGCGCCGCGGCCCCGCCUCUCCGGAGGUGUGGGGCGCCCGCCGGAGGUACGAAACUCUGUAUUAUAGUGGCAUCUCUGAGUAAAAAACAAAUAAGUUAAAACUUUCAACAACGGAUCUCUUGGUUCUG